CCUACGGGAGACAGCAGUGAGGAAUAUUGGUCAAUGGGCGCAAGCCUGAACCAGCCAAGCCGCGUGAAGGAUGACUGCCCUACGAGUUGUAAACUUCUUUUUUACAGGAAUAAAGUGUACUACGUGUAUCUCUUUGAAUGUACUUUACUAAUAAGGAUCGGCUAACUCCGUGCCAGCAGCCGCGGUAAUACGGAGGAUCCGAGCGUUAUCCGGUUUGAUUUGGUUUAACGGGAGCGUAGAUGGGUUGUUAAGUCAGUUGUGAAAAGUACCGGCUCAACCGUAAAACUGCAAUUGAUACUGGCAGUCUAGAGUGCAGAUGAGGUAGGCGGAAUUCGUGGUGUAGCGGUGAAAUGCUUAGAUAUCACGAAGAACACCGAUUGCGAAGGCAGCUUACUAAGCUGCCACUGACGUUGAGGCACGAAAGCGUGGGGAGCAAACAGGAUUAGAUACCCGGGUAGUC
rnacentral:rRNA from 1 species